GAUGAACGCUGGCGGCGUGCCUAAUACAUGCAAGUCGAGCGAACGGACGAGAAGCUUGCUUCUCUGAUGUUAGCGGCGGACGGGUGAGUAACACGUGGAUAACCUACCUAUAAGACUGGGAUAACUUCGGGAAACCGGAGCUAAUACCGGAUGAUAUUUUGAACCGCAUGGUUCAAAAGUGAAAGACGGUCUUGCUGUCACUUAUAGAUGGAUCCGCGCUGCAUUAGCUAGUUGGUAAGGUAACGGCUUACCAAGGCAACGAUGCAUAGCCGACCUGAGAGGGUGAUCGGCCACACGGGAACUGAGACACGGGCCAGACUCCUACGGGAGGCAGCAGUAGGGAAUCUGCCGCAAUGGGCGAAAGCCUGACGGAGCAACGCCGCGUGAGUGAUGAAGGUCUUCGGAUCGUAAAACUCUGUUAUUAGGGAAGAACAUAUGUGUAAGUAACUGUGCACAUCUUGACGGUACCUAAUCAGAAAGCCACGGCUAACUACGUG
rnacentral:rRNA from 1 species